rnacentral:rRNA from 1 species
GACGAACGCUGGCGGCGUGCUUAACACAUGCAAGUCGAACGGAAAGGCCCUGCUUGCCGGGUACUCGAGUGGCGAACGGGUGAGUAACACGUGGGUGAUCUGCCCUGCACUUCGGGAUAAGCCUGGGAAACUGGGUCUAAUACCGGGUAGGAGCCAUUUUUAGUGUGAUGGUUGGAAAGUUUUUUCGGUGUAGGAUGAGCUCGCGGCCUAUCAGCUUGUUGGUGGGGUAAUGGCCUACCAAGGCGGCGACGGGUAGCCGGCCUGAGAGGGUGGACGGCCACAUUGGGACUGAGAUACGGCCCAGACUCCUACGGGAGGCAGCAGUGGGGAAUAUUGCACAAUGGGCGCAAGCCUGAUGCAGCGACGCCGCGUGGGGGAUGACGGCCUUCGGGUUGGAAACUCCUUUCGCUAGGGACGAAGCUUUUUGUGACGGUACCUAGAUAAGAAGCACCGGCUAACUACGUG